rnacentral:rRNA from 1 species
UACAGAGGGUGCGAGCGUUAUUCGGAAUUACUGGGCGUAAAGCGUGCGUAGGCGGCUAUCUAAGUCGGGUGUGAAAGCCCCGGGCUCAACCUGGGAAUUGCAUUCGAGACUGAAUAGCUAGGGUACGGUAGAGGGAAGCGGAAUUUCCGGUGUAGCGGUGAAAUGCGUAGAUAUCGGAAGGAACAUCAGUGGCGAAAGCGGCUUCCUGGACCAGUACCGACGUUCAGGCACGAAAGCGUGGGGAGCAAACAGG